CCUUGUACACACCGCCCGUCACGCCAUGGAAGCUGGGGGGACCUGAAGCCGGUGGGCUAACCGCAAGGGGGCAGCCGUCAAAGGUCAAUUCAGUGACUGGGGCG
rnacentral:rRNA from 1 species